GAUGAAGAACGUAGCGAAAUGUGAUAAGUAGUGUGAAUUGCAGAAUUCCGUGAAUCAUCGAAUCUUUGAACGCACAUUGCGCCCGCCAGUAUUCUGGCGGGCAUGCCUGUCUGAGCGUCAUUUCAACCCUCAUGCCCCUAGGGCGUGGUGUUGGGGAUCGGCCAAAGCCCGCGAGGGACGGCCGGCCCCUAAAUCUAGUGGCGGACCCGUCGUGGCCUCCUCUGCGAAGUAGUGAUAUUCCGCAUCGGAGAGCGACGAGCCCCUGCCGUUAAACCCCCAACUUUCCAAGGUUGACCUCAGAUCAGGCAGGAAUACCCGCUGAACUUAAGCAUAUCAAUAAGCGGAGGA
rnacentral:misc_RNA from 1 species